rnacentral:rRNA from 1 species
AGCGAACGCUGGCGGCAGGCCUAACACAUGCAAGUCGAGCGCCCCGCAAGGGGAGCGGCAGACGGGCGAGUAACACGUGGGAACGUACCCUUCAGUUCGGAACAACCCAGGGAAACUUCGGCUAAUACCGGAUACGUCCGUAAGGAGAAAGAUUUAUCGCUGAAGGAUCGGCCCGCGUCCGAGUAGCUAGUUGGUGAGGUAACGGCUCACCAAGGCGACGAUCGGUAGCUGGUCUGGGAGGAUGAUCAGCCGCACUGGGACUGAGACACGGCCCAGACUCCUACGGGAGGCAGCAGUGGGGAAUAUUGGACAAAGGGCGCAAGCCUGAUCCAGCCAUGCCGCGUGGAUGAUGAAGGCCCUAGGGUUGUAAAGUCCUUUCGGCGGGGAAGAUAAUGACGGUACCCGCAGAAGAAGCCCCGGCUAACUUCGUGCCAGCCGCCGCGGUAAUAC